rnacentral:rRNA from 1 species
GGACGAACGCUGGCGGCGUGCUUAAGACAUGCAAGUCGUGCGAGGGGCUUCGGCCCCUAGCGGCGGACGGGUGAGUAACACGUGGAUAACCUACCUGAUGCUCYGGAAUAACAGGCCGAAAGGCCUGCUAAUGCCGGGUAAGCUCACGGGGCCGCAUGGUYYUGGGAGAAAAGGCGCUGYAAGGCGCUGGCAGCAGAGGGGUCCGCGGCCCAUUAGCUAGUUGGCGGGGUAAYGGCCCACCAAGGCGACGAUGGGUAGCCGGCCUGAGAGGGCGAYCGGCCACACUGGGACUGAGACACGGCCCAGACUCCUACGGGAGGCAGCAGUCGGGAAUUUUGCACAAUGGCCGAAAGGCUGAUGCAGCAACGCCGCGUGAGUGAUGAAGGCCUUCGGGUUGUAAAGCUCUGUUGUCCGUGACGAAAGGCYUSMUCAGGAAAUGGGKSRRGUUUGACGGUAGCGGAAGAGGAAGCCCCGGCUAACUACGU